rnacentral:rRNA from 1 species
GACGAACGCUGGCGGCGCGCUUAACACAUGCAAGUCGUGCGGUACCGAUGGCAAGUCUUCUUGACGAGCCUUCGGUAUAGCGGCGGACGGGUGAGUAACACGUGAGUAGCUGUCCUAGGGAGGGGGAUAACGCCUGGAAACGGGUGCUAAAACCCCAUAAGCCUCGAAAGAGGUAAAAGUGCAUCACUGCAGUCCUAGGGUGUGCUCGCGGCCUAUCAGCUAGUUGGUGAGGUAAGGGCUCACCAAGGCCAAGACGGGUAGCCGGCCUGAGAGGGUGUACGGCCACACUGGAAUUGAGAUACGGUCCAGACUCCUACGGGAGGCAGCAGUUGGGAAUCUUAGGCAAUGGACGAAAGUCUGACCUAGCGACGCCGCGUGAGGGAAGAAGGCCUUCGGGUUGUAAACCUCUGUCAUGGGGAAGAAGUAAGUGACGGUACCCAAGAGGAAGCCCCUGCUAACUACGUG